GACGAACGCUGGCGGCGUGCUUAACACAUGCAAGUCGAACGGAAAGGCCCUGCUUUUGUGGGGUGCUCGAGUGACGAACGGGUGAGUAACACGUGAGUAACCUGCCCUUGACUUUGGGAUAACUUCAGGAAACUGGGGCUAAUACCGGAUAGGAGCUCCUGCUGCAUGGUGGGGGUUGGAAAGUUUCGGCGGUUGGGGAUGGACUCGCGGCUUAUCAGCUUGUUGGUGGGGUAGUGGCUUACCAAGGCUUUGACGGGUAGCCGGUCUGAGAGGGUGACCGGGCAGAAGAGGACUGAGGCGCGGCCCAGGCGCGGAGGGGAGGCAGCGGGGGGGAAUUGUGGACGAGGGGCGAAAGCCUCGUCAAGCAAUGCCGCGGGAGGGGUGAAGGCCUUAGGGGUGGAAAGCGCUUGGACCCGGGAGGAUAAUGACAGUACCGGGAGAAGAAGCUCCGGCUAACGCCGGG
rnacentral:rRNA from 1 species